GAUGAAGAAAGAAAGGAAGAAUUACUCUGAAAAUCUUGAUCUGAUGUUUCUGUUGUUUUGCCAGUUUGUACCCAGUAGCUGGAGCAUCUUCUAAUUUGUCUUUGUCCAGUUGUCUGUAUGGUGCAAGACCUAUUUGCCGCGAAGUUUCUUUUUUUCUUGCAGAAGAUUUACUAGGAUUCAUUAAGAUACAGAUCAACUGGUUGUUUGGGCAUCCACGGACAAGAUUUCUUUUUUCUGUUAAGGGAAAUCAACAUUUUCCACUAAUGGCAAGACAUGUUGCCAACAGCUGUGGAGAGAUGUGAUGUGAUCUUCUCAAUGAACAAUCUAAGAGCCACUGAUUGCUUAUCAACAGGAAUUUCACCACUGAAGAAAGUAACAUAGUCUUCACCUCCUAACAAAUGAAAGUUAUUAAUGUUUCCUUGUGAGACACACUGGAUCCCCUCAACUGCAGCAUGGAUAAGAAGACAUUUGUUACAAGAAUGCAGGGUAAAGGAAGACUUGCAGUCGGUGAUCUGUGCGGGUAGACAGAGGGCAUGGAUCAGCCCCCCAGCCUUGUGUCUGAGUGCAUCCCAUCAUCCACUCGGUGCACAGAUCACUUUCAUUUCUUUGAAUAGACUCCCUAGUCUCUCCUGCUUUGCUUGUGCUCCUGUUGUCACAGUUGCUUCGAAUGCUUUCCCUCACAUUCUGCCUGUUGAAACUACUCCUCAGUCAUCUCACUCUGCAUGUCUACGCUAGAACUGAUCUUAAUCCAACUUGUGUUGCUGUCACUUGCAUAUGUGUCUUUCCUUCACACCACACUCUGAGUCUCUUGAAGGUAGGAUUGUUCUUUUACUUAGCUUUCUAUCUCAUCUGCUUAUUAGGGGCCCAUACAUAUUUACUGAAAUAAAUGGAAUUGGGUGAUCUAUGAAGAAAGGGAG
rnacentral:lncRNA from 12 species